rnacentral:rRNA from 1 species
UACAGAGGGUGCGAGCGUUGUCCGGAAUCACUGGGCGUAAAGGGCGCGUAGGUGGCCUGGUAAGUAGGGGGUGAAAUCUCGCGGCUCAACUGCGAGGCUGCCUCCUAAACUGUCAGGCUCGAGCAGAGUAGAGGCAGGUGGAAUUCCCGGUGUAGCGGUGGAAUGCGUAGAGAUCGGGAAGAACAUCGGUGGCGAAGGCGGCCUGCUGGGCUCUUGCUGACACUGAGGCGCGACAGCGUGGGGAGCAAAAGGG